GUGCUAGCUUCAGCAGCACAUAUACUAAAAUUGAAACGAUACAGGGAAGAUUAGUAUGGCCCCUACUCAAGGAUGACAUGCAAAUUCAUAAAGAAUAGAAGGGAACUU